rnacentral:rRNA from 1 species
AGCGAACGUUAGCGGCGGGCCUAACACAUGCAAGUCGAACGCGAAAGGUCUUCGGACUGAGUAGAGUGGCGCACGGGUGAGUAACACGUAGGUAAUCUACCCUUUGGCGGGGGAUAACGUUCCGAAAGGAGCGCUAAUACCGCAUAAGACCACGGAGUCUCCGGACGCUGUGGGAAAAGGUGGCCUCUUCUUGAAAGCUACCACCGAAGGAUGAGCCUGCGUCCCAUCAGCUAGUUGGUAAGGUAAUGGCUUACCAAGGCGAAGACGGGUAGCUGGUUUGAGAGAAUGAUCAGCCACACUGGCACUGGAACACGGGCCAGACUCCUACGGGAGGCAGCAGUGAGGAAUAUUGGGCAAUGGGCGAAAGCCUGACCCAGCCACGCCGCGUGAGUGAUGAAGGCCCUCGGGUCGUAAAGCUCUGUGGAGAGGGACGAAAACCCUGGUUUCAAACUAGGCUCCAGGCUUGACGGUACCUCUUUAGCAAGCACCGGCUAACUCUGUGCCAGCA